rnacentral:rRNA from 1 species
GAAUUAUUGGGCGUAAAGCGCGCGCAGGCGGAUCAGUCAGUCUGUCUUAAAAGUUCGGGGCUUAACCCCGUGAUGGGAUGGAAACUGCUGAUCUAGAGUAUNGGAGAGGAAAGUGGAAUUCCUAGUGUAGCGGUGAAAUGCGUAGAUAUUAGGAAGAACACCAGUGGCAAAGGCGACUUUCUGGACGAAAACUGACGCUGAGGCGCGAAAGCCAGGGGAGCGAACGGGAUUAGAUACCCCGGUAGUCCUGGCCGUAAACGAUGGGUACUAGGUGUAGGAGGUAUCGACCCCUUCUGUGCCGGAGUUAACGCAAUAAGUACCCCGCCUGGGGAGUACGACCGCAAGGUUGAAACUCAAAGGAAUUGACGGGGGCCCGCACAAGCGGUGGAGUAUGUGGUUUAAUUCGACGCAACGCGAAGAACCUUACCAGGUCUUGACAUUGAUGGACAGAACCAGAGAUGGUUCCUCUUCUUCGGAAGCCAGAAAACAGGUGGUGCACGGUUGUCGUCAGCUCGUGUCGUGAGAUGUUGGGUUAAGUCNNNNNNCGAGCGCAACCCCUAUCUUAUGUUGCCAGCACUUUGGGUGGGGACUCAUGAGAGACUGCCGCAGACAAUGCGGAGGAAGGCGGGGAUGACGUCAAAUCAUCAUGCCCCUUAUGACCUGGGCUACACACGUACUACAAUGGGAGUUAAUAGACGGAAGCGAGAUCGCGAGAUGGAGCAAACCCGAGAAACACUCUCUCAGUUCGGAUCGUAGGCUGCAACUCGCCUACGUGAAGUCGGAAUCGCUAGUAAUCGCAGGUCAGCAUACUGCGGUGAAUACGUUCCCGGGCCUU